GUAGGUGAACCUGCGGAAGGAUCAUUACUGAAGAAACAAGGGUUUUGAGACUGCGUCCUUCAUUGGCGUGUGCUCGACCUUUACUCUUUCAUCCAUACACACCUUUGUGCACCAAGGGGACAUUGCGUCCCCCCUUUUUUCAUAAAUACCGAGUUAUAUGCAUGUAUAUUUUGUAAUACUCUACGGAGUUAAUAAAUACAACUUUCAACAACGGAUCUCUUGGCUUUC
rnacentral:misc_RNA from 1 species